AGCAGCGGGGCUCUGUGGAAAGAGCACGGGCCUGGGGAGUCAGAGGACCCGGGUUCUAAUCCCAGCUCUGCCG
rnacentral:tRNA from 1 species